rnacentral:tRNA from 1 species
GGACCUUUAGUGCAGCUGAUUAGAGCAAACAGCUCAUAGCCGUUCGAUUAUAGGUUCGAGUCCUACAAGGUCCA